ACCAGACUCCUACGGGAGGCAGCAGUGGGGGAUAUUGCACAAUGGGGGGAACCCUGAUGCAGCGACGCCGCGUGGGUGAAGGAGUAUUUCGGUAUGUAAAGCCCUAUCGGCAGGGAAGAAGCAAGACGGUACCUGACUAAGAAGCCCCGGCUAACUACGUGCCAGCAGCCGCGGUAAUACGUAGGGGGCGAGCGUUAUCCGGAUUCACUGGGUGUAAAGGGAGCGUAGACGGCCAAGCAAGCCAGGGGUGAAAGCCCGGGGCCCAACCCCGGGACUGCCCUUGGAACUGCUGGGCUGGAGUGCGGGGGGGGCAGGCGGAAUUCCUGGUGUAGCGGCGAAAUGCGUAGAUAUCAGGAGGAACACCGGUGGCGAAGGCGGCCUGCUGGACUGCAACUGACGUUGAGGCCCGAAAGCGUGGGGAGCAAACAGGAUUAGAUACCCCGGUAU
rnacentral:rRNA from 1 species